CACGUAGGGGGCGAGCGUUGUCCGGAAUUAUUGGGCGUAAAGAGCUCGUAGGCGGUUUGUCGCGUCUGCCGUGAAAGUCCGGGGCUCAACUCCGGAUCUGCGGUGGGUACGGGCAGACUAGAGUGAUGUAGGGGAGACUGGAAUUCCUGGUGUAGCGGUGAAAUGCGCAGAUAUCAGGAGGAACACCGAUGGCGAAGGCAGGUCUCUGGGCAUUAACUGACGCUGAGGAGCGAAAGCAUGGGGAGCGAACAGG
rnacentral:rRNA from 1 species